AAAUUGGCUUUUUUUUGUGUUUGUUUUAGCUAAACGUGUCAGAUGAAGAGCUGUGUACACUCUGCCUCCUGGAGUGCCAAGCAUUUAGUUGCCACAAACCUUUACUUCUCUACUUGUGUUUCUUUUGCUCUAAUGAUUUAAUUAAUUUUUAAAAUUCUGUUGACAGUCAAGGGUGUUUGCUAAAUAUUUAUCUCCUUAAUCACAGAGCCAUCUCUGCACUUUCUAAAUCAUGGCUUUUUAUAUGCCAUGCAGAAUUCUCACCAUGCAUUUAUAAUCUGCAAUAUUAAAAACGUUGCCUUUGUUGCUGUUGAACAUGGAAAGGUGUGGAUGCUCAAGAUUCCUAUUGGG